AAGAUAUUAGUAAAAAUUACAAGGCCUUGUCAUGACCUAAUUGUCAAUUGACAUAUCUUA
rnacentral:tRNA from 1 species